rnacentral:rRNA from 1 species
GAUGAACGUUGGCGGCGUGCCUAAUACAUGCAAGUCGAACGGAGAAUUUGAUGUAGCAAUACAUUGAAUUUCUUAGUGGCGAACUGGUGAGUAACACGUAGGUUAUCUACCCUCAAGACGGGGACAACCCAGGGAAACUUGGGCUAAUACCGGAUGUGAGCAACUUUUAGUUGUUUGAAAGGUGGCGUAAGCUGUCGCUUGGGGAUGAGCCUGCGUCCUAUUAGUUAGUUGGUGAGGUAACGGCUCACCUAGGCAAUGAUAGGUAGGCGGCCUUAACGGGUGGUCGCCCACACUGGGAUUGAGAUACGGCCCAGACUCCUACGGGAGGCAGCAGUCGAGAAUAGUCUACAAUGGUCGGAAGACUGAUAGUGCGACGCCGCGUGAACGAUGAAUCCCUUCGGGGUGUAAAGUUCUUUUAUAUGUGAGCAGUGCUUCUUAUAUUAACAGUAUGGGGAGAGAGAUAUUAGCAUAUGAAUAAGCAACGGCUAACUCCGUGCC